rnacentral:lncRNA from 1 species
AGAAGCUUGUGCCACUAUAGCCUGCUGAUCUGGGGCAGAGCUGUCUGCUACAUCUCCUCCUUUCUUUUUCAGAAACAGCAGCAGCUACAGCAGGGACCAACCUGCUUGCCAUGGUUUGUCAGAGCUCCUUACUCUCCUCGUGGCUGUCAAGAUCGGUGGCUUCAGAGAGUCAUCCUGGAGAAAGAAGCGCUCACCUACACCUCUCCUCAAGGCACUCACUCAAACACUUAACAUGUGCCAGCAUUCUCAAGUGGCUCAAAGGGGGCACUUCAUCUCGUCCUAAUGCCAUUUGGGUUGAGGAAGUUAGAUCGCGUGCCCAAGGUCUCCCAGGUGAACAGCAGAGAGUGGAUUUGCAUUGCUGGCACCAG